CAAGUGGGUUUUUUUUUUUUUAAAGUUUAUUUCAUUUAUGGGUUUUAAAGAGUUUUCUUGACCAACAGGACCUGCUUGCCACCAUAUCCUCACCUCCAUCCCUAACCCAUGCAGCCUCAGGAUCGUGAGCAUCCAGGGAAGGGCCUAGAGUGCACACAAGUGUUCCCUGAGUGUGGCAGGGGGUUGUUUGGGACUGGGCAGAGGUGACCCAGUAUGUAGAAACACCUACUGGGUCCUGUGCCUGGAGGCACAAGUUGGCUUCACUGGGAGUCAGGCAGCGCCCUAGGGUCAUGGAAAUGAACCUCAGGGUAGAGUCCAAGGCCAUGUGGGACAGGGAGGCCCCCUGAGCUGUGGGCACCAUAGCUCUACACAUUUGGUUUCUCCCCUGUCCUCUCACCUGUUUUUGGUAACUGCUUAAUUAAUGUUUGUUGCUAGUCUGUCUCACACCUUUCUCUUCCUUGGUGGUGUUCUCACCCAUUUGGGGCUAAAGGGUGCACCGAGCGUGUGCCAUACCAAGCCUCCCUGGUAGGUCUGGCCCUGCACGUGCUUUGCCCGUCCUUCCUUCACAAGGAAGGUGCCCUAACUUUCUUGCGCACCUGUUGUAACCUGCCCUCUCCCAGCCCUUCUCCGAGGCAGGAGGCUUGGCCCACCCAACCCCACCACCCUGUCAGUAUCCCCAUUUCACACACGAGGGAACAGACCCUCAGAGAGGUGAAGGUCAGAGCAGAAUUUGAAUCCAGACAUUCUAGCCCUUCUGCUGCCAGGACUGCAUGUUGGAGGUAGCCGAGAUUUGGGGUCAGGAGUAAGAACUCUGUAGGAUAGAAUAACGUCAAGAGUCUACAUCACUUGGUUGUUGUGGGUGUUGGUUCUUCUGUGGGGAGGGUUUAAGAUGUCCCACCUGGGGGGAGGAAGGACUGUGUGCGUAAGGGGAGGAGGAAGGGAAUCGGCAGAGCAGGGGCAUGAAGGCUCAGGUCCUUUGGGGCUAGGCUUGCUGCUUUGCCCUCCAGCUUUAAGGGUACUGGGCUGGGGCUGGGUUUUCCUGCAGACGGGGCUUUGAGCUGUGGCUCUGAGCCAACACAUGCCCCACCCCCCAGCCCCUGUAUGCGGUCCCUGUGGGGGCUCUGGUAGUGUUGGCCACCUAGACACAAAGCAGACUUGACAUGGGUCCCCACAAGAGCCUGUGCUCUGGGGCAGGAUAGCUGUCCCCACUGCCAGCCCAGUACAGCUAGACAUAGAGUCCCACUGUGGCCAGGGAGUGCGCAAGCCUCUGUCAUGAGUUCUUUGUUCACAGUCCAUGCUUCCUAGAAUACAGUGUCAAAAAGGUAGCUUCGAGGAUGAAGAAUGACAAAUCCAGGAAGAAAAAAUGGAGUAUUUGUGGGAUUCUACCCACAAAAGACAUUGGUAUGCUUGAGGUUAGAGUCCAACUUGAAGCAGGACAUCACGGCCGCCUCACUAAGCUGCCAGCUGUUUCCUCCAGUGCCUGACACAUGCGGCUUUCACUUGGCUCCUAUCCCCCACUGCCAGCCCUCCCCUGCUGGAGUUUGUGAAUUUCAAGGUCAGCUGAAAGUCAAACUUUACCAUGUUGGUGAUGAAAUGCAAGCAGAUGUGGCUGGUUUGGCUGAUGGCGGCCACACCCUGAGAACCGUGCUCAGUCCUGUGGGUGAUGCCUGGCAAAAUUAACAAAGUCUGAUCGCUUACAACCCUGGGUUUCCAUCUCAAGAGAUUCAGAUUUCAAACCUCGUGCAGAGAAGUGACGUAUAGAAAGUGCCCUUUAAAUUGAGGAGUUGUCCAAAACGGGGCUGGCUUUCAAAGCACAUUUUUGGAUCAGAAAUCCCGGAAUAAGAAAAUUCUGAACGCAGAACAAAGCACAAGAGCCUGCCACAACAGCACAUGGUGGCUUGCCUGGUCUAUUUACUCUGCAGAGGUGGGACCCCCCCCCCCUGGGGUUCACAGACACAACUGAUCACACAUGGCACCCCAGGGGCUCGGCAACGUGCAGCACCCACAGGACCUACUGACUGCCCCCUGUCCCGCUGACCACCUGCUAGUGUGGCUUGUGUGCUAGGAGAAGUACGUCCAAGAUGGAACAGCAAGGACACACCCAGGAGCAGGUUCCAGACCUUCCUGCCCCACUGCUUCCCUACCACUCUGGGCUGGCUGGAGCAAGACUGGCCGGCUAGCCUGGGUUCUGGAGCACAAGCCUUUUCCUCACUCUGUUUGCCGAGCCUCCCCAAGCUUUGGCAGCUCAUUAUUUCUCCACUGGCGGGUGAGUGGGAGAGGCCGCGCCAAAGGGACGGCCAAUUACCAGGGCCUCGCCGCCACGCACCGCCUUGGAUGCGUUUUCUCAAAUGGCGAAGCCCUCUUCGGGGAGAGGCAAUUUGUGGGGAGCUCAGGGCAGCAUAAUUUAUGGGCCCCCUCUCUCCUGGUUAGGAAAGAGGUGGCUGUGGCUUAAUUUAAUUAGCUGGGUUCGGCUGAGCACAUGACCAGGAUGGGCCUGGAAUCCUGGUAAACGAGGCACACUUCUUUUGUGAGUAAAGCACAGCCGAAGAAGAAAAGGUCUAAAGUUACUUGAUUCAUUAGGAUCCUUGGGUUAGAGUUGUCUUCCAGUUUGAAAUAUAAAGCCACUUAUUUUUCUUAACAAGAAUCCAGCCCACCAGCUACGGUGUUCUGCUCAUGCAUUUAAUAGGAAUAAUUGCAUGGAGCUCAAAUUAUCAUAACCUAAUGCUCUUCAUGGUAGAUCCAGCCUCGUCACAUUUUUCCCACAGGGAAACGAGUGUGUUCUGUAGGGCGGGGAGAAGCCGCCAGCUCAUUCGCCCGGUCGUUCACAGCCUGCCUCUGCUCUGCCCUGCCUUGUUGGUUGAGUUUCUGGGGGUGCAGGCCACCAGGCUGGGAGCAUUGAGGGGGCUUCUAGAAGAAGGGGCCAGGGUAGCAGUUGCUCUCUAUAGGUGAUCCAUAGCUCUCAGCUCGGCCUAGCUCUCUAAUUUCAAAGGAAGGUCACAGUAAGAGAAAGCUAGGUUUGUAAGGGAUCAUGAAGUCCUGAUAUUUCUGGUGGCAGUAGCAAUCAUAAUGACUGGGCAUAAUGUCAGGGCAGUGCCCUUAUUUUAUAGUUCAGGGAACUCGGGUGCUGAGAGGCUAUAAGAAAGGCUGGUCAUGACAGACCCUGGCCCCGGGUUUUCGGAUGUCCCAGAGCACGGAGGGGAGGUGCCAGCGAUCUUAGACACAGAUCCCUUGAGCAGAUAGGAUGCACAGACUGGGGAGAGGGCCGUGAGAUCUCUGUCACCAGCCACUUGAUCUUAGGUAAGGCUCUCUCAGCCUCAGUUUCCAGACCUGCGAAAUGGGGAUCCCAACACCUGCCCUGAAUCCCUCCCAGGGUUGGCUCAUGAUGCCCGUGAGAGAAAGAAUCCAGGUGCGAGGGCUCAGCAAAGUGCUGCCAGGUUGGUUGAAUCAUCACAGCCAGAGUGCUAUCACCUGCAGAAGGAGAAGCUUCCUGGCUCAAGCCAGGCAUCCCUCUGAGCUCAAAAUGACCAGCGUGGCCAGGAUUGCCAGAACUCGGGCUGGGCUGCUGCCUGUGGGGGGCCUGGAUUUGAGUCCUGGGGCUUCCCCAGGUAUGGCCUUUGUGCGCAUCUUGCACGGCGAGCCGAGGGUGCUGUGUUUCUGAGCUGUCCCUGCAGGCCACAGAGGCAGGCCCCCCGGUGAACCACUUGUGGGAGGAGCAGGGGCAUGUGAACGGAGGACCACUGCAUGUCCAUUUUGCAGCCAGUGUGGGCCACACAGGAACUGGAGAGGGGCCUUGUCUAUGUAAGUCCUCCAUUACCCCGCUUCUUGUGUUUCUUUCUUUGUGGAGCCCCAGGUAAAGUCACCGGGAAACCCAGGCUGGGUUCUGCCACGGGGGCUGGGGCAGAUGGUGGCAGGGGCCAGUCACGCCGUGAACACUGCGAUCCUCACCAGGCCAGACUCAGAGGCUCAGGGCAUUUGCCUUCUACCCUCACGGAAGCUGUGCGGCUUCUUUAUCAGGAGAUACAAGUGUUGCAGAGGCCAUGGUGAUCCCUUUCCCCCGAGAGCACUGCUUGUUAUCCUUCGGUUACUUCGCAAAGCAAACGGUGCCUUCGUCUUCAAUCGCAAAUGGUGUUGUCGACUACUUCAAAAAAGCAGAGUGAAUAUUAUUCCAAUAUUUAUCUUAGCACAAAACUAACAUUUCAAAGCCUGUGCCCAUAAUUCAAAUGUUGAUGGGGAACACAUUGUGUGGAUGUGGUGCAAAUAUAUACAAGGGGGAAGUUGCUUAUAUUUAAUAGGGAAACAAGAAGUAAACAUUUUUGAAUAAAAAUGGCAAAGCCUUGGGUUCUACGAGUUGCAGUUUUUCAGUUGAACAUAAUUAACUGGCACCUCUUAGGAGCUGUCAUGUGGUCUGAGGGUUCAGCAGGGUUGAAGUCAAGUUCUUAUUAGCAAGCAAGGAUGCCUCUCAGAACCGGGGCCCAGGAUUUCGUGUUCCUGGCCUUACUGGGCUGAUCUAGAAGCUGGCGUGUGGCUGGGAAGUUCACUGCCGCUGCUUUGUCUCUCCCCAUGUUUGCUUCACGCAAAUGCUCGAGCGUGCCAGGAGCCCUUAUAAAGGCGCAUGGGAAGGGGAGAGCGGCCCCUUCUUGGGGGCGGUUGUCUUGUGGCUGCUUUGUAAGAGUACCCCCUCAUGCUGAAGGCUGACCUGCCCUGUAGCAUCCCCUGUGUGGAAGAGAGAGGUGUGGGCCCCUGUGGUCUUGCUCUAAGAAUUCUUGAGCAACGGGAACCACGGCUGUUUCUGGCAUCUUACAUCAUGUGAGAAGGGCUUGCAGGCCUCUGUAAACGCUCGGGUGCCUGUCUGUACAAAUGUGGGGCCUUGACACUGGCAGGCUCCGUUUUUGUUACUGAAUCAGGGUGUGGGCACUCGCACUUCCUUCUGGAAUCCUCCAGCCUGUGUGUCUGACUGGGGAAGCAGCUGUGAAGGUGGCAUCUGCAUAGCCCUGGCCCCAUCCUGCUGCGACAAUUCGCCAGGUGAUAGGUUUGUGGAAGUGGAGGGGCUCUGUAUUGCUGCACUCUGGUUCCUGGGGCAUUAGUUUCAGUCCUGAAUGGGCUUUUCCUGCAAGGAGACAGCCACGUGACUUCUCCAAGUCAAGCAAGGACACUUCGGAUUUGUCCUCAUGGCUCUGUUCGCCAUCAUUGUCUUGUUUUCCAAAGUUGAAUUGGUGCUUUUUUGGGGGGGGCGGGGCUUCCUUAGAUGGCAGGACCAUAUAAAUCCUCAUGCCGCACUUAGCAAGGACACCCAGAAGUUCAUGGGUGUGAGGGGGCACCUGGAAUCAUUCUGGACCACUUCGGCAGAUGCUGCUGGGCAAGGCUGUGUGCUCAGAGCCGUGUGAUGUGCUGGAAGGGGAUGGCAGAGAGGGAGGUGUGGCUCUCACCACGUGAGGAGGACAGAAGUUAGGAUUUUACACAGGAGAUUUGGAGGCCAUUUGUUUGAGGGGCUCUUCUCUGGAAACUAGAAGUAAUAAUAAUUAAAUUGAAAAUUAAAAAAUGAUAAAGCUGGGGUGCCCGGGUGGCUCAGUUGGUUGAGCGUCUGACUCUUGAUCUUAGCUCUGGUUGUAAUCCCAGGAUUGAG